GACUCCGUGGCGCAACGGUAGCGCGUCUGACUCCAGAUCAGAAAAGGGUUUCGUGUUCAAAUCACGUCGGGGUCA